rnacentral:lncRNA from 1 species
AGUUGAAGUUAGUGAUUCUCUAGGAAACCAGCUUCACUAGUCUGGCUUGUGAGGUAGUAGCCCUAUAAUAAUGCUCCUUCACUAUAGUACAAGCUUGGAUUUUGUUGACUACUUCUGAACACUUGCUCAUCAUUUGAACACUUGCUCAUCAUUUGCAACCAAAUUUCAUGCAUAAUAUAAUCAACAAAAGGCCUAGCAAGUCUUAACAACUUCCUACCUUUAAACCUUAGUAUUUUAAUUGGAUGAAAUUCCACAACUAUUCAAAUCCAAUCACUAGUACCAUACGUCCAAUAAGAAAUAACAUGACCACCCC